CCUGGGACUACACCGACUGAAGAGGCAAGAAGAUACUCAUCAUUUGGACACGACAACUGCAACUAGUGUGUCAGCAGGUGAUGGGUCUGUGUCUCACCUCUGAGGCGUGCUCUGUCAGAGGGAUCCAUGGCAACCACGGCCUCGGAUACGCGGGAUGGACGGCUGACUCCGGCCUUGUUCACCGCACGCACCCUAAACAUUACCCCAGGAUGGAGCUGCUGCCCUCCACCGCUGGCUGCUUCCAGGUUACCACAACAUAGUCCUUGUUGGCAUCAUG